AAGGCAUGGUGAGGGCACUUUCUAAGCAUCUCCUUGAAUCUUUCAUAAUUCUCAUAAAUAGAUUCUCCUUUUAAUUGAGUAAAAGAAGUAAUGUCAUUUCAAAGCUU